rnacentral:rRNA from 1 species
UACGUAGGGUGCAGGCGUUAAUCGGAAUUACUGGGCGUAAAGCGUGCGCAGGCGGCUCCUUAAGUCAGAUGUGAAAGCCCCGGGCUUAACCUGGGAACUGCGUUUGGAACUGGGGAGCUAGAGUGUAGAAGAGGGGGGUGGAAUUCCAGGUGUAGCAGUGAAAUGCGUAGAGAUCUGGAGGAACACCGAUGGCGAAGGCAGCCCCCUGGGCUAACACUGACGCUCAUGCACGAAAGCGUGGGGAGCAAACAGG